UGGCUCAGAACGAACGCUGGCGGCGCGCUUAACACAUGCAAGUCGAACGAGAAAGGGGAGCAAUCCCUGAGUACAGUGGCGUACGGGUGAGUAACACGUGGAUGAUCUACCUCUUAGCGGGGAAUAACUCUGGGAAACCGGAGCUAAUACCGCAUAAGCUCGAGAGAGGAAACGCGAAAGCGGCUGAGAGAGGAGUCCGCGGCCGAUUAGCUAGUUGGUAGGGUAUUUGCCUACCAAGGCGGAUAAGGUAGCCGGCCUGAGUGGGCACACGGCCACACUGGC
rnacentral:rRNA from 1 species